GUCGGAUCGACAAGAUCCUUGAGCGGUUUGUCCAAUCUUAAGUACUGUAUUGCCCACUCUUCAAGUAAACCAUUUUCUGCUGAAUGGGGGAUUCUACCUGUCAUUAGUUCUAACAACACUAACCCAAAGCUGUAGAUUUGGCUUUCUGGACCUCCUGAUGAAGUGUUUAAGAGAUGUCCACUGGUGCAAAUCCGCUCGACUGCGACGAUUUCGCUUUGUAAACUACACUCUGAAAUCUUUGCUGCAUAAUCCUCGGUCAAAUUGACAGCCGAUGAGGUAAGGUUGAGUUGGAUUAGUGGUGUGUUCCGCUCGUGCAAAUAUUCAAGGCAGUAAGCCAUUCCCAUUGCUAUUCUCGUUCGCAUUCUCCAGUUCAAGUGUUCAAAUUCUUCAUCAUGAAGAUGUUCGAAAACCGUUCCAUUAGGAGCAUAUUCAAAAACCAUCAUUCUACUGAAGGGCUCCUCUUCCUCG
rnacentral:misc_RNA from 1 species